UCCGGCUUAUCACCGGCAGUUUCCUCAGAGUUCCCAGCUUUACCUGUUGGCAACAGAGGAUGAGGGUUGCGCUCGUUGCGGGACUUAACCCAACAUCUCACGACACGAGCUGACGACAGCCAUGCAGCACCUGUGCUCCUCCCACCCGAAGUGAAGGCUUCCUUUUCGGGAAGCCAUAGAGGGCAUGUCAAGGCCUGGUAAGGUUCUUCGCGUUGCCUCGAAUUAAACCACAUGUUCCACCGCUUGUGCGGGUCCCCGUCAAUUCCUUUGAGUUUUAAUCUUGCGACCGUACUCCCCAGGCGGGAUGCUUAACGCGUUAGCUACGCCACCGGGAACUACGUUCCCGACAGCUAGCAUCCAUCGUUUACAGCGUGGACUAC
rnacentral:misc_RNA from 1 species